rnacentral:rRNA from 1 species
GAGCGGCGAACGGGUGAGUAACACGUGAGUAACCUGCCCCUGACUCUGGGAUAAGCCUGGGAAACUGGGUCUAAUACCGGAUAUGACAUCUACCCGCAUGGGUUGGGUGUGGAAAGUUUUUUCGGUUGGGGAUGGGCUCGCGGCCUAUCAGCUUGUUGGUGGGGUAGUGGCCUACCAAGGCGACGACGGGUAGCCGGCCUGAGAGGGCGACCGGCCACACUGGGACUGAGACACGGCCCAGACUCCUACGGGAGGCAGCAGUGGGGAAUAUUGCGCAAUGGGCGGAAGCCUGACGCAGCGACGCCGCGUGGGGGAUGACGGCCUUCGGGUUGUAAACCUCUUUCAGCAGGGACGAAGUUGACGUGUACCUGUAGAAGAAGCGCCGGCUAACUACGUGCCAGCAGCCGCGGUAAUACGUAGGGCGCAAGCGUUGUCCGGAAUUAUUGGGCGUAAAGAGCUCGUAGGUGGCUUGUUGCGUCUGCCGUGAAAGCCCGUGGCUUAACUGCGGGUCUGCGGNGGAUACGGGCAGGCUAGAGGCUGGUAGGGGCAAGCGGAAUUCCU